rnacentral:tRNA from 2 species
UUGUAGCUCAGUUGGUUAGAGCGUCGGAUUGUGGUUCCGAAGGUCGCGGGUUCGAGACCCGUCUUU